GGCGACCCGCACUGAUUGCAGCCGCAGUGCCAGCAGCAAGUGGCCACUCGCGGUUCUUUCAGCCAUGUCCUUUCAACUGACAGAGGACAAGUCGGCAAGAUUUGAAAGUAGAAACAUGGGACAGUGUCAACCCCAGACAUGUGAGUACAGGAGUCUUCAGAGGAUCCCUGAUGCCACCUGUCAAGUUACUGCCGCCUAGAGUCUUCCAGCUGAGGUCCCCGGCGUUGGAGAGCAGAGACCAGCUGUGCCCAUUGUGCCUUUCCU